GACGAACGCUGGCGGCGUGCUUAACACAUGCAAGUCGAGCGGAAAGGCCCUUCGGGGUACUCGAGCGGCGAACGGGUGAGUAACACGUGAGCAACCUGCCCCUAGCUCUGGGAUAGCUCCGGGAAACCGGGAUUAAUACCGGAUAAGACCACUUUAGACAUCUGCUGUGGUGGAAAGGAUUCCGGCUAGGGAUGGGCUCG
rnacentral:rRNA from 1 species